rnacentral:rRNA from 1 species
AUGGAGAAGGAGAAAGAGAGGUCAUUGACCUCCAUUCUUGGGAAGGAGCCAGCGAUUGGAAAAAAGAAGAAGGGCAGAAGCAAGACCUCCAGCUCCAUGGACGCCGGCAUCGAGCCGUCCGUUCGUUCCAAGGCCAAUCCAAGCAUUGUCCUUGUUGACCCGCUUGUGAGGGCAAAGCAGCAGGCGCGAGCAGUGCCACCCCCGCCUCCGCCUCGGCGUCUACCUGACAACAAAGGUAUCGGCGCGCGGGGAUAA